rnacentral:rRNA from 1 species
CCUACGGGAGGCUGCAGUGAGGAAUAGUGGUCAAUGGCCGGAAGGCUGAACCAGCCAAGCCGCGUGAGGGAGGAAGGCGCAGAGCGUCGCAGACCUCUUUUGCCGGGGGACAAAAGGCCGGACGCGUCCGGUCCUGAGGGUACCCGGAGAAAAAGCAUCGGCUAACUCCGUGCCAGCAGCCGCGGUAAUACGGAGGAUGCGAGCGUUAUACGGAUUCAUUGGGUUUAAAGGGUGCGCAGGCGGGCCUUUAAGCCGGCGGUGAAAUCGCGGGGCUCAACCCCGCCGAGCCGGCGGAACUGGGGGCCUUGAGUGCGGCGGGUGCAUGCGGAAUGCGCGGUGUAGCGGU